UUGUGGUAGAUUUCUACUCAUUUGAGUCUUUUUUUCGUAGUUAUUUUGGCUUUUAGUGUAUAAUUGUUGCUUUUUGAUGUGAUUUUGCACGAAAAUGAAAUGGAGAGUUCGUACAAAAUGUUGAACAUGCAAGGUUAGCACCAUUUGAUUGUUGGCUUUGUUUUAGAGGAACCAAAACAAUGGAAGAAAAUGCUUCUACCGUCUUCAAUAUUUCACGUGCCGGAGUUUGUGGAUGCUAUUUGGGUUGCUCUGUGGGAUCCAAUGUUGGCUGUUCGGGAGAAGGUUGUUUAGACAUUGUGUGCCUGCCUUCUUGUUAUUGAAAAGCGUCAGGCACGACGGCGUGUUCAGUGGUAUUAUUGAAUGUUUGAGGCUACCCAAGAUGGAUCGCGGAGAAUCGCUCCUGUUCAUAGUAUAAUUGGAUCUCUUCUAGCAGUCGGGGAGCCGCUAAGGAAGUAAAAAGGAGAUUGAAAUAGAAAGAACGCAGAAUGCUGCACUUUACUUUUGGGCACAUUUAUUUUUAUUUGGAUUUGUGUGGAAGAAGAUCAGCAGAUAUACUCCCAAGUCUUUUUUCUGUUUCAGCCUUAGAAGGAUGGGUCUGCAUUGGCUUUGAGGCAGCUUGUAGAGGUAGAAGCUCGGGAUCUUAGUGGAGAAGGAACACAGAGGAGUUCAUGAUGUCAAUAUACAGGGAGGUUGCUGAAAUUGUUCUAAGAUACCUGGAGCACCAAGUACUUGAAAUCGAGCUUCAUGUUGCAUCACGGGAUAAACAACUACUUCAAUCACAAACAUCUAGCUAAAAAAUCUAUACAUAGAGGCGUUGACUCUUGCAACAUUCAGAAAAUACAUUGUCUUUGUCUGAAGUUGAGUGUCACAACAAAAACGAAAGUGUGCUUCCAAGUUCUGAUCCUUUGUUAGCUAAAUGAAAAUCAUAAGAAGUCAAAUUUCACGUAAUGUUACUUCUGUGUAUAUAGGUGUAUUUCAUUCAUAAAUUGAUUUACUGCCAUUUAUAUAUUUCUCUACUACCAUUUUGUAGUACAUGCUUCCGCGGCUACAAAAA